rnacentral:tRNA from 1 species
CUGUCCGUAGCUCAGUGGAUGAGAGCGCCUGCUUCCGAUGCAGGAUGCCGCGGGUUCGAAUCCUGCCGGACAGU